GAUAUUUAAGAACAAUUCAAAUCGAUACGGGUGUAACCAUCCAUUUCCCCAAAGCCACCCAUUUUCCUAGAAAAGCCGCUUCGGUCAUCAAAGCCACCAACAUGAAAAAGGAGUCAAAGUCUUACCUGCCCACAGGGUCACUGGUCAUCCAGGCUCCUUGCACUUUGGUUUAUUGAUUGUCAGCCAACUUGAUCCAGUGGCAGUGUGUAAGCAGUGGGUUUACAGCUGCUUUCCUCACCCCUUCAUUCUUUUUUUCAACAGUUGGGAGUCCCAUGGAGCGACCAACUUUCAACGACUGCUAACAGAUAGGCUCGGUGAAAAUGCCAGCAGCCACAAUUCAACCCCUAUCUCAAAGACCAUUCAGUGCUAUCCACACAUCCCGUCAACAAAACUUUGCCAGGGGAAGCAGGUGCCAUUUUUAAAUUCCUGCUCCGUAAAACAACACAUGAGAAUGGCUCAGACUUGGAGCUGAAGAAGCCAGCAACCUGGAAACACCAAAGGCCACAGAUGCAAAAAGUGCCGAGCGAAGCUGCGGUCUCUCUACCCACAGGACCAGGGAAGGGGCAACCUAAGAGGAGAGAAAACUUUUGGACAACAGCCACUCUUCAGUAGCCAACGCCACAGACACAAACUGUUCUCCUCCAACCUCGAGCAACGCAGCGUGGCAUCCGGACUUCAACACUCACCAGGCUGUCACAAGGCACUCCACCUUCCACUGGGAGUCAAGACUUUUGUCUUCCAGUGGUAACACCUCAGUGUCACCAUGUCGGGAGCUGGAACACCCUUCCUGCCGGAGGAAGCCAGCUAAAACAGCUUUCAAGCAUUCCGCAGAUGUACGGAUGAAUUUUGAACAUUUUUCAACAAAUGGAAAAGAUGACAUUCUUAAGUGAAGAAAAGCACUGCCCGUUCUUCCAAUAAUUCAUUUUGCACCACUCGCGUCCCCAGGUCUGGCGCUCUCUAGUGCUCACAUAUCUGUAACAGGGGUGUGAGGGCUGCAUGAGCUGUUUAAUUGUGUAACCGAGUUUGUCUUCUUUUAAUGUCUGAGAAGAAGGGGAAAAGAAAGAUCAGAUGUGUUGACUUAAGGGUAAGUAAUAACGGAAUGCGUGCUGAGUGGCUAGAUGAGUAUCAGAGAAAUGGUUUGUGUAAACAUUGGUUUCUGCCUGCUGCUGAUGCCCACCCAGAAUGCUCUCUCUACAAAACCUUCAGUCUUGCUCUCCUCAGGUUCAGCCUUCCUGAGUUUACCAUAUAAACUUUUAAUGAGUGCGCUAUUUGCAAACCUCCCUUCCGGAUUGGCAAACCCAAGUUGAUAGGGAACGUCUGUGCUUUUUUUUACCUUGUAAUUUCCCUUUCCUUGUAUUUCCCCGCUGAAACUUACCAAGGCAGGUGUCUCUCUCUCUCUCUCUCUCUCUCUCUCUCUCUCUCUCUCUCUCUCUCUCUCUCUCACACACACACACACACACAC